GGCUCAAUGGUCUAGUCGUAUGAUUCUCGCUUUGGGAGUACGUAUUCUUGGGCAAAGUCCCUAGAUACAUUCAAAAAACUCGAUUGCGAGAGGUCCCGGGUUCAAAUCCCGGUUGAGCCC